AUACGGAGGAUGCGAGCGUUAUCCGGAUUUAUUGGGUUUAAAGGGAGCGUAGGCGGGAGCUUAAGUCAGCGGUUAAAUGGUGCGGCUCAACCGUGCCCUGCCGUUGAAACUGGGUUUCUUGAGAGUGCAAGAGGCGGAUGGAAUUCCAGGUGUAGUGGUGAAAUGCUUAGAUAUCAUGAAGAACUCCGAUUGCGAAGGCAGUCCGCUGGGGCACGUCUGACGCUGAUGCUCGAAGGUGCGGGAAUCAAACAGGAUUAGAUACCCUGGUAGUCCGCACGGUAAACGAUGAUUACCCGCUGUCGGCGGCAGACAGUCGGCGGCCAAGCGAAAGCGAUAAGUAAUCCACCUGGGGAGUACGCCGGCAACGGUGAAACUUAAAGGAAUUGACGGGG
rnacentral:rRNA from 1 species